AAGACGAGGGUCCUUGAACAACUGUGGGGUGUUUGUUUUGAUGUACGCAUUUUACAUUGUGGCAAGAGCCCAAUUUGAUUUCAAUGAGACAAACAUGCAGCAAAUUAGGCACUGGUGGUGCCUAUUCUCCUCAAAAACGUUCCCAUGCCGUCUGAACAAGAGAGGUCGCAAGACUGCAAGAGGCGACGGGAGGAAAAGGCAAUGCAGGUAGAAGUUGUUGAAUCACAAAUGAUAAAGUCUUGAACCAGUGUGAGUGUUAAACAUUUAACCUCUCUUUGUCAAAUAUAUUUCAGGAUGAAGAGGUUGUGAGGUUCCACAAAAGAAGCAGGCCAUCA